rnacentral:rRNA from 1 species
AGCGAACGCUGGCGGCAGGCCUAACACAUGCAAGUCGAACGGAUCCUUCGGGAUUAGUGGCGGACGGGUGAGUAACACGUGGGAACGUGCCCUUUGGUUCGGAACAACUCAGGGAAACUUGAGCUAAUACCGGAUGUGCCCUUCGGGGGAAAGAUUUAUCGCCAUUGGAGCGGCCCGCGUCUGAUUAGCUAGUUGGUGGGGUAAAGGCUCACCAAGGCGACGAUCAGUAGCUGGUCUGAGAGGAUGAUCAGCCACAUUGGGACUGAGACACGGCGCAAACUCCUACGGGAGGCAGCAGUGGGGAAUCUUGCGCAAUGGGCGAAAGCCUGACGCAGCCAUGCCGCGUGAAUGAUGAAGGUCUUAGGAUUGUAAAAUUCUUUCACCGGGGACGAUAAUGACGGUACCCGGAGAAGAAGCCCCGGCUAACUUCGUGCCAGCAGCCGCCGUAACAC